GCCCGGGAGGCGGGGGCAGAACAGGGAGUGGGCGGGGCUUCCCAUACGAGAGGCUAAAGGUUCGGAAAGGAGUGAGUGACGCUGCGGGCGGGGAGAGGGAGCGGCGUGGUCACGUGAGCCCGGCCUCUGACGUCACCGGUGUCCAGACCUCCCAAGCUGCACAUUGGCUGCUCUGCCUUGACAGCAAAGCCGGAGGAACGUCGCUCGGCGAGGCCGCCGCAGCAGGUUUUGCGAGACUCCUUCUCUGGAGGUUUUAAGAAGAAGCUAGAUGGCCAUCUGUCAGGAGGGUUUGGAUUGUGUCUUCCUGCAUGGCAGAAGGCGGCUGGACUGGAUGGACUUUGUACUAUACCUUCCAACUCUUAGAAUCAGUAAUAUAUGCUACAAGUUACUUUCAGAAUGACAGCACCUAGUGAAAAUUCAUCAUGGAACUAAUUCAGGUUUCCCUGCUUAUUGGAUUUUCUUUGGUAAGAAAGGGGAAGAUGUGGUAAGAAAAGGGAAGGGUUAAAAUAGAAGACAUAAUUUAUGAACCUGUUCUCCCACUACUCAUAAAGCUGUCUUGCUGAGGGAGGUCAAAUUUUUUGACCAGGGCCCACAUUGACCACGAACCACUUGACCGGGGAUCACUUUGACCAGGGACCACUCUCCAACAUUAGUACCAAAAAGGUUAUGAAUCAGUUUUUGGUCAACUUUAGAUUCAGUUUGGAUAUUUGGGGUGCUGAUUCAGAAAAUUGUAUUGGAUAGACCAUAUCAGCUCUAGUUUCUGAUACAGAACAUAUGCCAUCCAGUAGUUGCCAUCUGCUCGCCCGCAUAAAACCAUAUUUAAUAAUGUGGUGUAUCCAGUGCAAUGGUCAGCUCUGCCGAAAGGAGUGGAAAUAAAAUUAAUACAGUAAAAUGAAUUAAUAAAGAGGAAGGAGGUUCACGGACUGGAUUUUUGUACUCGUGGCCCACGGCUGGGCCGUGGCCCACAGGUUGAGAACCACUGAUUUAGAAUGAAAAUCUUCCAGCUUGGUAAAUGUACUGGGGAAGCUUCUUUUUAUGGAGGGGCUGAAGAAGCCAUAGCAGAAUUGUACAAAAGUUGAAUGAAAAGUAAUGCCUCCACCUUAGUUACUUGGGUUUGGAUGGGAAUAUUUUAAUAAAUCAAACUAAGAAAUAAUUCUUAGAAUGUGCUCUUUAACUACCACUAUUCGCUUUUCCACAUAAUCACCAGACAAUUGGAUACAUUUCUGCCAAUGAUGAACAAGUUUUCUGAAGCCAUCACAGAAGACACUCUGUUUCCACAACCAGCGUCUCACAGUACCCAAUGUGCAUAUUUUUGUGAAAUGUUGAUUAAGUUUGAAAUUUCUCUGAGUUAUACAACGAUCGUCCUGAAUCAAUCUGUCAAACUUUUGCUUGUGAAACUUGGUGGUUGCUGUCACAGGACGUCCAACUCUUGUCACGCAAGUCAGAUGUUCCCAUCUCAACAUCUUUCAACUUACUCGUCCAACGACGCACAGUACUCACAUCAACACAAUUACCAUAAACAGCUUUCAUUCUCUGUUGAAUCUCCUGUUGGGUGACACCUUCUGCUGUCAAGAAUUCAAUGACUUCACGUUGCUUAAGUCGCAUUGACUGACCGUCUGCGCAGGGUUCCAUACUUCACACUUUAACAACACAACCAUUCAAUGCUAAGGCCACCUGCCAAAUAGAACUGUAGAGGAGAGUCUACUGAAUAAGCCAGUACCUGCCGCAUACCAGUACUGCCAUCUGUUGAGGAGUUACGAAGGUGGAGGCAUUACUUUUCAUUCAACCCUCGUAUAUAUGAUACAAAACCAUCAUCAUGUGUUCUUGACAAGCCUAAUUUCAUAUUCCUCUCCCUGCUUCCCCUGAGUAUCUCUUGCCAAAUCUUUCUUUCUAAUUGUUCACCAGGGAACAAUUUUUUAUCAUUCCAUCCUACCCAUGUUGAGAGCAGUAGUCAAUGUGAUAAUUUCAAUUUUGGGUUUAUAAAUAGCAGACCUUGAGCCAGUAGCUAUCUUUGGCUUCAGUUAUUUCCAUAAGACAGUCAUAUAAACCCCCUUUCUGCUGUCCUACUUCCUUUAUUGAGGCAUACCAUUGUCAUUGAUAGAAUCAGGGCUGUACAGAAAAACUAGUAGUACUGUAAAUGUUUUGUCUCCAUUAAUUAAGAACGCUUAAUUUUUCUAUCAUGUCACCAAGUACUUUGCUUGUGGACCUAGGUUUAAGAUCAGUCUGUUUCCCGUCCCCUUUUCCACCACGAUAUCAUGCCUUUCUCUUCAAACACCAUUAUACGUCUGAACCUUGUUCGAAUACAUUUUCUAUUAGUAUAUUAGAAUGAUUUCUAGUCAUAUUAACAUAUAUUUUAAUUCUUUCUAAUUACUGUAGUUCCUUCUUGGCUAAACAACACAGCCUUUAAUCUCUGAUAAUUUCCUUAACAAUUAAGGUGCCAUGCUUUAUGUUUAGCCUCUAAGUGGCAGUGUUGCAUAUCUGAAUAUACAUAUUCAGGCAUUUUAAACAAAUGUUGCACAUGUUUCUCCAUGGGUGAAGGAACUUCCCAUAUGUUACUGAAAGCUAAGCAGUGUUAAUACUUAGAUGGCUGACCACCAACCAAUAACAAGUAUUGUAGGUUACAUUUCAGACGAAGGAAAUGGAAAAAUAAUCUGAGUAUUCAUUUCUUAAGGCCAUGUGUACAUUAGGCAGUUAAUCUGAGGCCAGUCCAUAGCAGAAAUACUCCAGAAUGUCCCCAGAGGCAGCCAUAUGCAUUACCUUGAAUCUGCAGAAGCAGGCAGUUAGAAUCCAGGCAAUCUAGACUGCAUUACUUCUGCUGGACUAUCACCUUACUGUCCAUGUUGCUAUCACCACUACCAGAGCUUCAUGUGAGCUCCUGGCAAACUGGUUAAAGUUAGACCCAAUUUGCAGUCCACGUUGUCAUGAAGCAGCAGGGUUGUUCUGGAGCUUCAGGCAAACUCCACCUCCAACUUUUCUUAAUGUAGGACCAAAGGAGUAAAUUGACUCCGUUUACUCCAUGAUACCUAAUGGAAAUGCAAGAACAUUGUGGGGACAGCCAAGAUCAAAUUCAUGGUGAAUGUGGAUUAUACUCCUGGUUCAAAUGAGACCUAAGAAAGCUGUAUGGAUUUAAUGGGAUCACCAUCAGUAGAUAGGCGACUUGAAGGUACACAUAGACACUAUGUGACAGUAAGAGCCCCGGUGGCACAAUGGGUUAAACCCUUGUGCCGGCAGGACUGCUGACCGAAAGGUCGGUGAUUCGAAUCCGGGGAGUGUCAGCUCCAGCUUCUCAUUUGGACACAUGAGAGAAGCCUCCUACAGGAUAGUAAAACAUCCGGAUAUCUCCUGGGCAAAGUCCUUGCAGACAGCCAAUUCUCUCACACCAGAAGCGACUUGCAGUUUCUCAACUCGUGCCUGAUAAAAAAAAGGAGUAAGUGGUGAUUUGAGGAGGAUAGAGCCUACUUUUCACUAGCACUAGACGUCAUGAGAUACAAAUAAGUAGCUACUGUCGAUUAUUCUGUAACAAAAGAACAGCUGCAUUACAUUAUAACUGUAAUUCAACAAGUGAUCAUUUCCCUCGUUUUGUAAUGUAACCAUACUGUUUAAGCAACUUUACCCCUAUUGUAGAACCUUAUCAAGAUUUUCUUAUGUUUUCCUGGAACACAGCUUAAAAGCCAUUGAUGUUGAUGAUCCACAUAUAAUUUGCCAGGUGGCCAACUACCUCUUACAAUAUAAGCUGCUGAGGCAAAUAAAGUGCAUAGUUAAUUUAUUGCAGUCAAACAAACAUUCUAAGGCAGGAUAGAAGGGUUUCAAUUUGCAUGUAAAUCCAACCUUAGACUUCUGUAUGACAACCAAUAAUUCAAGAAACCAGUUCUCCAUGUAUGCUGUGUAAAGAAGCAGAAACAGCAGCUGUCCAUGCGAAAAAUAGCUGUGUAGAUAUCCUUAGAUUCAAUGUACAUGAACACAAAUGGAUUGAUUCUCAGAAAUACUCUGUUAAGGUCAUUCUUUUGUAUUUGCUUCAUUUGUGUUGCUAGAUUGUAUAUUAGCAAAGCAAAAUGAGAUUGCACAAGGCUUAUUUUUACAUUAUGCAACCUUUUAAUACAGAAUAGAUCAGGAAGUGGAUAUCGGUUGCCAUCCUGUGAAACAGCACUGUUGUCAUAUCAGUGAGAUUACACUAACUGUUUGAACAAGAAUAUUGUCUUUCUGUUGAAAAACCUGGUAGGCUGUAUGGUGGGUAUGAAGCAGUGUUGAUCUUCAGUUGUAUAACUCUUAAAUUAGGUCAGUACUCAGUAACAUUUGUUCCAGUAAACUUCAGGAAUAGCGAGUGAAUUUACCUUCGCAGCAUUGCAAUUAGUUAAGAGCUUAACUAAUGCUUCUUAGGAAUAUGUAUGGAAUAUUCCAUAUUCCAUAUGGAAUAUCUCUACAUAUUAUUUUUUCAUGUCAGGAGCAACUUGACAAACUGCAGUCACUUCUGGUGUGAGAGAAUUGGCUGUCAGGAAGGACGUUACCCAUGGGACCCCGGGUUGUUUGAUGUUUUGCCAUCCUUGUGAGAGGCUUCUCUCAUGUCCCUAUAUGGAGCUGGAGCUGAUAGAGGGAGCUCAUCCGUGCUCUCCCUGGGUUGGAUUUGAACCAGCACCCUUCAGGUCAGCAACCCAAACUUCAAGGUUGCCAGUUCAAAUCCAACCUGGGAUGGUAAAAACGUUCUCUACAUAAUCACCAUUGUUAAUAUUUUCAAACUAUUGGUGAAACACACAAAUCUGUUCAUAAGGCAAUGAAAAGAAAACAUUUUUAUUAAAUAUAUUUACUUUUUUGAUGGAA